GUGCACAUUUCAUUGUCUUUUUUCUUUAUCUCAAGAGAAAAGAUAUUUCUGAUGUGCUAAAUAAACUUUUGGAGGUAAAUUAGCAGCACGACUAAUUUUUAGCCAUCGCUGUCAGUCACCUUCAGACAAGU
ensembl:snoRNA